CUGACGGAAUGAGCUCUUCCACAAACGGGGUCACAACUGAUGGAAUGAGCUCUUCCGCAAACGGGGUCACAACUGAUGGAAUGAGCUCUUCCGCAAGUGAGUU